rnacentral:piRNA from 1 species
UCACAGAGAUUUGCCUUUCCUUACUUUCCC